rnacentral:rRNA from 1 species
GACAGAGGGUGCAAACGUUGGUCGGAAUUACUGGGCGUAAAGCGCGUGUAGGCGGCUAUGCAAGUCGGAUGUGAAAGCCCUCGGCUCAACCGGGGAAGUGCACCCGAAACUGCAAAGCUAGAGUCUCGGAGAGGAUCGUGGAAUUCUCGGUGUAGAGGUGAAAUUCGUAGAUAUCGAGAGGAACACCAGUGGCGAAGGCGGCUACCUGGACCGGUUCUGACGCUGAUGCGCGAAAGCGUGGGUAGCAAACAGG